CUUGCGGUCAUAUUGCAUUGAAACACCAGUUCUUGUAUGAUCACCAAAGUUAAGCAACUUUGAGCCUGGUCGGUACUGAGAUGGAUAACCACUUAGGAAUGUCAGGUGCUGUAAG